rnacentral:rRNA from 1 species
AGCGAACGCUGGCGGCGCGCUUAACACAUGCAAGUCGAGCGAGAACCAGGGCUUCGGCCCUGGGGACAGCGGCGAACGGGUGAGUAACACGUGGGUAAUCCACCCUCGGCACCGGAAUAGCCCGGGGAAACCCGGAUUAAUGCCGGAUGGCCCGCCGGCCCUGCGGGGCUGGUGGAAAAGGGAGCUUGGGCCUCCGGCCGAGGACGAGCCCGGGACGGAUUAGGUUGUUGGUGGGGUAACGGCCUACCAAGGCUGCGAUCCGUAGCUGGUCUGAGAGGACGAUCAGCCACACUGGGACUGAGACACGGCCCAGACUCCUACGGGAGGCAGCAGUGGGGAAUCUUGCGCAAUGGGCGAAAGCCUGACGCAGCGACGCCGCGUGAGGGAAGAAGGCCUUCGGGUUGUAAACCUCUUUCAGGAGGGACGAAGCCACUCGGGUUAAUAGCCCAGAGGGUGACGGUACCUCCAGAAGAAGCCCCGGCUAACUACGUGCCAGCAGCCGCAGUAAAAC